UACGGGGGGGGCAAGCGUUGUUCGGAAUUACUGGGCGUAAAGGGCUCGUAGGCGGCCAACUAAGUCGGAUGUGAAAUCCCCAGGCUCAACCUGGGAACUGCAUCCGAUACUGGAUGGCUUGAAUUCGGGAGAGGGAUGCAGAAUUCCAGGUGUAGCGGUGAAAUGCGUAGAUAUCUGGAGGAACACCGGUGGCGAAGGCGGCGAUCUGGCCCAACACUGACACUGAGACCCGAAAGCGCGGGGAUCAAACAGG
rnacentral:rRNA from 1 species